rnacentral:rRNA from 1 species
AAAGCAGGGGAUCGCAAGACCUUGCGCUUUUGGAGCGGCCGAUGUCUGAUUAGCUAGUUGGUAGGGUAAAGGCUUACCAAGGCAACGAUCAGUAGUUGGUCUGAGAGGACGACCAGCCACACUGGGACUGAGACACGGCCCAGACUCCUACGGGAGGCAGCAGUGGGGAAUUUUGGACAAUGGGCGAAAGCCUGAUCCAGCCAUGCCGCGUGAGUGAAGAAGGCCUUCGGGUUGUAAAGCUCUUUCAGUCGAGAAGAAAAAAUUGCGACUAAUAAUCGCAAUUCAUGACGGUAUCGACAGAAGAAGCACCGGCUAACUACGUGCCAGCAGCCGCGGUAAUACGUAGGGUGCAAGCGUUAAUCGGAAUUACUGGGCGUAAAGGGUGCGCAGGCGGCCUUGUAAGUCAGAUGUGAAAUCCCCGGGCUUAACCUGGGAACUGCGUUUGAAACUACAAAGCUAG